CACUCAUAACCAUAAGAUAAUUAAAACGGGGGGGGGGGCAGGGGAAAAAAAAAACCCUUUUAUCAGCCAUAGGUUAAUGCAAGUGUUUAACAGAUGCUUCGCUAUUAAAAUAUUUCCCCCCAAUACUGAAGAAUCUUAAACCAGCAACCCUAACAGAGAUUGCGAAGAUUUUCAAAGUGGGGCACCUCGAUUUCUCGAAUCUGUGGUGUGGCGAAUAUCCGUGUUCCUCCUGCUUAACUAGCCUGUUUGGCAGGUCUGAUUCUAUUUAUUCUAAAGACAGAGUUGGAGAUGGGCUACCAUUGGUGUUGAUUGAGAUGACAAGCAGUCACCUGAGCCCAUACAGCUGGGUUCACAGAUGUGGCUAGUCUUGCUAGCCAGCUCGCACUGUGGACAUUCUAGGGAACUGACUGCAGUCCUCAUGCUUGGAGUCAAACACUUUAACCACUGCACACGUUUAUGUAAUAGGAUUGACAUAUGAGAAUCAGAGAAAUGAAUGAAAGAUUAGAGGUAAGCAAGAGC
ensembl:processed_transcript AV026068 expressed sequence AV026068